UUUUAGAGGAAAAAUCUGUCAAUUUGUUCUUGAGUAGGAUUCAGCUAAUCUCCGAAUAUCCCUUGAAUAGAUUCUGGAGAUUACUCCAUUAGGAGCCCCAAAAGAGAGAUAAUGAGCCUCGAGGUACCGAAUCCACUUAGAACAAAUUUGUGUGUGUUUUUAAGAGUUUAUCUUUUUAUUUAUUUUCAUUGAUUUCUUUUACAUAUUUUUUUUCAUAUUUUUUCCGUUUUACACAUUUUAUACAUAGUUCUCCCCCUUUUUGUCAUCAUACCAAAAAGGAGGUAAUCAACCACAAUCAAUGGCACAUAAUUGAAGAUAAGAUGUCUACUCAUUGUAUUGAUAUGAAUUGAAGUAGAUUUGAGCAUACAAUAAGUAAAGUAAAACAAUACAAAACAAAACUCAAACACAUCUAUGUCCUCCUCGAGGAUGAAGCUCCCCCUCUCGAGGAUGCAUCUCCUCCUCUGGAGGAUGUGGCUCCUCCUCUCGAG
rnacentral:lncRNA from 1 species